AAGACAUGAACUCCAUGCAAUGAACUUUCCUCUUGGAACUGCCUUCAUAGUGUCCCAGAGAUUUCAUCAUAUUGUUAAUUGAUCACUCCAAUAAACAGGUCGAUGGAAGUGGCUGAGGAACAAAGCACCAAGCAACCGGUGCCCAGGAAAGAAACACCAAUCAGGCACUGAUGGAACCGCCUGUCAAUCAGCGGGGUCUCCUGGUCAAUCCUGGAUCUUAGCCAGCUCCCACAACCAACUCCAGUAGGUCAAGGGACUCUAAAGACCCCUUUUUCUGUCCCAAGCCCUCCCUUCCUGCCCUAAGCCCAAUGAAAAUUCCAAUCCGGUCCAGC
rnacentral:lncRNA from 1 species